rnacentral:rRNA from 1 species
AACCUUUACACUGCACGACAGUGCGAUAAGGGAAUCCCAAGUGCGUAGGCAUAGAGCCUACGCUUUUGUCCACCGUAGGGAGGUGGACGAAUAAGGGCUGGGCAAGACCGGUGCCAGCCGCCGCGGUAAUACCGGCAGCCCGAGUGAUGGCCGAUCUUAUUGGGCCUAAAGCGUCCGUAGCUGGCCGCGCAAGUCUAUCGGAAAAUCCACCCGCUCAACGGGUGGGCGUCCGGUAGAAACUGCGUGGCUUGGGACCGGAAGGCGCGACGGGUACGUCCGGGGUAGGAGUGAAAUCCCGUAAUCCUGGACGGACCGCCGAUGGCGAAAGCACGUCGCGAAGACGGAUCCGACAGUGAGGGACGAAAGCUGGGGUCUCGAACCGGAUUAGAUACCCGGGUAGUCCUAGCCGUAAACAAUGCCUGCUAGGUGUGGCUCCCACUACGAGUGGGUGCUGUGCCGUAGGGAAGCCGCUAAGCAGGCCGCCUGGGAAGUACGUCCGCAAGGAUGAAACUUAA